GUUCAUCUUCUGAAACAAGCAUACAGUAAGGCAAAGAAGAGAGAACUAAAUGCCUGGGAUGCAGUCAAGGAGGACAUGCUCCAAGUGUUCUGUCUGCCAACGGCAUGCUGAUUAUAGGUGCUUGGAGUGCAGCACUACAGCAGUCCUUUGUGAAGCCUGUCUGAGGAGGACUCACCACAAUUCAUUGCACAUCCCUGAUAAAUGGAAUGUAUGAACAACAGCAUUCACUCACACAUGUAUACAUAUAGCAAACUAUUUGUAAAUCUUGUUUUAGCACGAUACUACAAUUUGUGUUGUCUUCAAUUACUCAUUCCCAAAACUAUUAGUUAAAGUUAUCUUUCUUUCAGAAUUCUUCUUAUGAACCAUCCUACCAGGGGCUAUUCCUGUAUUUACCCGAGGGCCAUGAAAACCAUGCUGUGUACAGGAAAGAUAUAAAAGUCAUUGUCAACACAGGACGUCUCUGCACCAUCCUUGUAGAUAUGUGCGAGUGUGAACCUGAAGCCUGCACUCUUUGAUAUCCCACUUUAGGCAUCACCGCUUCCGACAAAGGAGUUUGGUGGAUAUUUGCCCUCAGUUUGAUGAUGGGACCACGUGCCCAGCAUGUCCAAAGGUGGACGGAGAUAUGAUAGUAACUCUGGACAUUAAGAGUCUAAAUGAUGUGCAGAAAAUUGUGGAGAACAUAAUUGCUGUGAAUGCUGAAUCAUCAAAGAAUCAAAAUAUGAACACAAAUAGCCAUUGUGAGGACAAGGACCCAAGGUCUAACUGAGACCUGUAUAUACCUGGGUGUGUAUAUCUGUAUUUGGUUUACGGUGCUUGUAU